AUUAUACAGCGAAACUGCGAAUGGCUCAUUAUAUAAGUUAUCGUUUAUUUGAUAGUACCUUACUACUUGGAUAACCGUGGUAAUUCUAGAGCUAAUACAUGCUGAAAAUCCCGACUCCGGAAGGGAUGUAUUUAUUAGAUUCAAAGCCAAUGCCCUCCGGGCUCACUGGUGAUUCAUGAUAACUCCUCGAAUCGCACGGCCUUGCGCCGGCGAUGGUUCAUUCAAAUUUCUUCCCUAUCAACUUUCGAUGUUUGGGUAGUGGCCAAACAUGGUUGCAACGGGUAACGGAGGGUUAGGGCUCGACCCCGGAGAAGGAGCCUGAGAAACGGCUACUACAUCCAAGGAAGGCAGCAGGCGCGCAAAUUACCCAAUCCCGACACGGGGAGGUAGUGACAAUAAAUACUGAUACAGGGCUCUUUUGGGUCUUGUAAUUGGAAUGAGUACAAUUUAAAUCCCUUAACGAGGAACAAUUGGAGGGCAAGUCUGGUGCCAGCAGCCGCGGUAAUUCCAGCUCCAAUAGCGUAUAUUAAAGUUGUUGUGGUUAAAAAGCUCGUAGUUGAACCUUGGGCCUGGCUGGCCGGUCCGCCUCACCGCGUGUACUGGUCCGGCCGGGCCUUUCCCUCUGUGGAACCCCAUGCCCUUCACUGGGCGUGGCGGGGAAACAGGACUUUUACUUUGAAAAAAUUAGAGUGCUCCAGGCAGGCCUAUGCUCGAAUACAUUAGCAUGGAAUAAUGAAAUAGGACGCGCGGUUCUAUUUUGUUGGUUUCUAGGACCGCCGUAAUGAUUAAUAGGGACAGUCGGGGGCAUCAGUAUUCAAUGGUCAGAGGUGAAAUUCUUGGAUCCAUUGAAGACUAACUACUGCGAAAGCAUUUGUCAAGGAUGUUUUCAUUAAUCAGGAACGAAAGUUAGGGGAUCGAAGACGAUCAGAUACCGUCGUAGUCUUAACCAUAAACUAUGCCGACUAGGGAUCGGACGAUGUUAUUUUUUGACUCGUUCGGCACCUUACCGAGAAAUCAAAGUG
rnacentral:rRNA from 1 species